rnacentral:rRNA from 1 species
GCGGUGAAAUGCGUAGAGAUGUGGAGGAACACCAGUGGCGAAGGCGACUCUCUGGUCUGUAACUGACGCUGAGGAGCGAAAGCGUGGGGAGCGAACAGGAUUAGAUACCCUGGUAGUCCACGCCGUAAACGAUGAGUGCUAAGUGUUAGGGGGUUUCCGCCCCUUAGUGCUGCAGCUAACGCAUUAAGCACUCCGCCUGGGGAGUACGGUCGCAAGACUGAAACUCAAAGGAAUUGACGGGGGCCCGCACAAGCGGUGGAGCAUGUGGUUUAAUUCGAAGCAACGCGAAGAACCUUACCAGGUCUUGACAUCCUCUGACAAUCCUAGAGAUAGGACGUCCCCUUCGGGGGCAGAGUGACAGGUGGUGCAUGGUUGUCGUCAGCUCGUGUCGUGAGAUGUUGGGUUAAGUCCCGCAACGAGCGCAACCCUUGAUCUUAGUUGCCAGCAUUCAGUUGGGCACUCUAAGGUGACUGCCGGUGACAAACCGGAGGAAGGUGGGGAUGACGUCAAAUCAUCAUGCCCCUUAUGACCUGGGCUACACACGUGCUACAAUGGNCAGAACAAAGGGCAGCGAAACCGCGAGGUUAAGCCAAUCCCACAAAUCUGUUCUCAGUUCGGAUCGCAGUCUGCAACUCGACUGCGUGAAGCUGGAAUCGCUAGUAAUCGCGGAUCAGC